AGUAGCGGCGAGUGAAGCGGCAAGAGCUCAGAUUUGAAAUCGUGUUUCGGCACGAGUUGUAGAGUGUAGGCGGGAGUCUCUGUGGAGCGCGGUGUCCAAGUCCCUUGGAACAGGGUGCCUGAGAGGGUGAGAGCCCCGUAGGGUGCUGCGCGAAGCUUUUGAGGCCCUGCUGACGAGUCGAGUUGUUUGGGAAUGCAGCUCCAAGCGGGUGGUAAAUUCCAUCUAAGGCUAAAUAUUGGCGAGAGACCGAUAGCGAACAAGUACUGUGAAGGAAAGAUGAAAAGCACUUUGAAAAGAGAGUGAAACAGCACGUGAAAUUGUUGAAAGGGAAGGGUAUUGGGCUCGACAUGGGGGGUGCGCACCGCUGUCUCUUGUAGGCGGCGCUCUGGGCGCCCUCUGGGCCAGCAUCGGUUCCUGCUGCGGGAGAAGGGGCUCCGGAAAGUGGCUCUUCGGAGUGUUAUAGCCGGGGCCAGAUGCCGCGUGUGGGGACCGAGGACUGCGGCUUCUGUCUCGGAUGCUGGCAUAACGGCGCAAUACCGCCCGUCUU
rnacentral:rRNA from 1 species